GUUCGGCCACCUCUCCCCACAUCAUUUGUGACCUGGGAAAGAAACGGCUCCUCUCAGGCUCUGUCCCUCCGCAGUUUCCAGAGCCCCCUGCCCUUUGACACGGGUGUCCUUCGGUCCUGCGGAAAGGUAAUGAGUCCGCGAAGAAAACACACCUGGAGAAAUAAAGAACACGGAGUGGAACUGGCUUGGAAAAGCUGUCCUACCGCAGGAGUCAAGGUGAUGUGUUCUCAGUGCAAGCCCCAGACGGAGAAAAUAUGCAGCAGUGAGAUUUAUUGCGUUUGCAAUCGCAUGCGCGGCUGGUAGGCCGACAGAGUGAUGGCCUGAGUCAAAAUCCCAUGGGACAGCCCUGACCGGUUUGGCUCAGUGGAUAGAGCGUCAGCCUGUGGACUGAAG